rnacentral:rRNA from 1 species
UACGAAGGGGGCUAGCGUUGCUCGGAAUUACUGGGCGUAAAGCGCACGUAGGCGGCUUUCUAAGUCAGGGGUGAAAUCCUGGAGCUCAACUCCAGAACUGCCUUCGAUACUGGAGAGCUCGAGUCCGGGAGAGGUGAGUGGAACUGCGAGUGUAGAGGUGAAAUUCGUAGAUAUUCGCAAGAACACCAGUGGCGAAGGCGGCUCACUGGCCCGGUACUGACGCUGAGGUGCGAAAGCGUGGGGAGCAAACAGG